GUCGGUGUAGUACAACGGUUAGUACAUCCCACUCACAUUACUUUGGAAUUAUCGGGAAAAUGGCUGGUUCGAUUCCGCCCUCUGACA